rnacentral:lncRNA from 1 species
AGUUCUCAAAGGAGUCAGUCACGUGGAGGGGAACGUGAGAGUUACUUCGGUUGCUGCAUAAUAAAAGUUACAAUUUUCCCACUUGUAAUCAGACUGCCAAUUCGAACGCGUACAUGAACGAUACUCAACAGCACUGCCUGCUUAUCAGUCAUCUUUAAUUCCUCAUCCGGCAUUGAAAGAAAUCAGCAAAAAAAAAAAGGAUGAAGGGAUUCACCUGUUUGGUUCUGUUGAUGUGCCUGAGCUGCGUCUUUGCCAUGGCACUUCGUCAAGAGAGAGAUACUAAGGACCAGUUGUUGGAACUGCUCCUGGAGCGAUACUUGGAGGGCAGAUCGCGACAGGAUCGGGACGGAUACGGAAAAGACCGAUCCCUAGAGGAGGACCGUAAGUUGUACAAAACGCAUAUAGCUGUUGUUGUUUUUUUACUUGACAGUCGCCUAUAUGUGAAGAAUGUUUUCAUAUAAACCAUGGGAUCUCAUGACAAAACGUUCCUGAGCCUCUGAUAAAUUGGUAAAUACAGGGCGAGUCAGAAUAUUCUGGACCCAAGUCAGGUAUAUUUUUGUUGUGGCAUAUAAAGUAUAUUGAGAAAAAAACUUAGUGUUUCAUAUAUGAAUGGUUAUUACCAAAAUUUGGAAUUUUUCAAAUUGGUGGCAGUGGUGGUGAGGAGUUUUGCCAUUUUCAUUGAAGUCGCUCAUUUUCCAGCCUGCACACAGAAUUGGUUUUGCAUUUUUAAAUGUGCCAAUAACUACUUUGUUGUUGUAGUGAGACGUUUUUUACGAGGCACCGUACAAUUGGCACACAGCCCAGAAAAAAAAUGUGUACAAACGCGCACUCAGUGCGUGUACGCGCGAGUUUUCUGCUUCCACACCAAACUGUGCAAUAUGGAGGCCUAGCUCACUACACAGUUGUACACUUGCCAGGCCUUCGGGGAACUUCGGGGAACCUGAUUGAAAUAUUAGAACCAAGAAUAUUAGGAACCUGAUUAAAACAUUAGAACCAAGAAUAUUAGGAACCUGAUUAAAAUAUUAGAACCAAGAACAUUAGACACCUGGAAAUCUUAGGAAGCGGGGCAACUUUAGAAAUACAAACAUUGUGAUUAUAAUUUAUCAUUGACAAUGUUAUUACAAUUUAUAGAGCUGAAAGUUGAAUCCAAGUUAUAUGAUUUUUGUAACACUUGUUUUGUGAGUUAGAUUGAGAUUCAGAUCCAGAACUAUUGUAAUUGAUUUUGUAAACGAGUAAUCUGUAACAAGUUCAUGAGACCAAACAUAAUUUGACCCCUCCUAGUGUUUUGUCUUGGUUGUCCUUGGCGUCCUUAAAUCCAAUCAUUUGAGCGGACCUCCUUAAUGGCGUACCGCUACAAAAGUGGCGUCGUAGAUAGGAUUCGUCACAACUUAUUUACCUACUAAGCUUAAAGUAUUUUUUUCUUCCAUGUCUACUCCUCCUGCUACAAAAGUGGCGUCGUAGACAGGAUGCCUUGGACAAUGUAGGAUAAACAGUUUCCUUAAUUGUAAAUUAUUAAGUUCUCCGAACGCCUUUUCCUCGCUGUGGCCGUCCAUUUAUCAUGGAGCGUCGUACGAGAUGGGAUUUGCUGUUGCUGUUACCAUGCAAGAUGUUUCUCCUCAUUCGCCAGGCUGUGAUGCGCCGUUUCACUUGUUGAGGGACAUGAUCAUCUCUUCCAUUUUGUAUUAUUGACUGGGCUGCAUUUUUUUAUAGUAUUGUCAGCAGGUGUAGUUUUGGUCACUUGUAGUUUUAACCUACAUACACUUGUGCAAUUUUAUCUUCCAUGUGAAGUGUAUUUUGACUUUGGUAUCCAUUCUUUUGUAGAUCUGCAUUUGUACAGAUUAAGCCUUUUGGCCUACGUGUAGCUGAAGUCAAAUUUGUGUGCACAGUUGGUUUGUAUGUAGAGUAUGGCCUGAUUGUAUUUUUGCUGACUUAAUUUGCAGACCCUUGUAUAUUUUGACAUAUUGACGUGAAGUUUGACGUGCAUGAUGUGCAUUUCAUAUUUUGUCUGUGCAUUUUGUCUAUUUUUGACAUGAUUCAGUCUGUAUUUAGGCUGUAAUUUUGGGUUGGAUUUUGUGUGUACAAGUUAUGUCAUUGUAUCCCUUGUAGGAUGGAAAAUAGGCUGUAUUGUGACCCUGUUAUAUCUGUGUAGGUACAGAUUUUUUGUCAAAUUUGUGAAGCCUUGUAAUUUCAUGUACACUGUAGGCCGUAGGUGGUCAUUUAUAUCACAACCAUGGUUUUGCCAGACAGUACUUGUUAAGUCACAUCAGUUUUUAGCACAAACUAUUGUCAAUGUGUUUUCAAAUUUAUUAGAGGAUGGUCACGAUGAGGUCCACUUACUCAAUGAACAGCCUUGUGAAUCUGUUGAUUCCAUUUCUAAGCUAAGUGUAGCUAAGUCAAUAGAGACAGCACUCAAUGAGCAUGCUGCUAUUUUACUCACGUUUGUUGAAGACCAACAGGUCAAAAACCUGGAAAGUUUGUCUUCUGAUCUAAUGGUGUCCCAGGUGGUGAUAUUCCCAGUGAAAUUAGUGAGACAAAUGUUGAUUCUGAGCCAGUAGUUAUUGUCCCUGCAUGUACCGAUGUAGCAGCUGUUCUAGAGGUAGAGGUGUCAGAACAGAUUUUGAUAAAACCUGUUGAUGGUAUUGUGGAAGUCUCUGAUCACCACGAGGUUGUUGAUGUAAGGCCUGUUUUAGAGCCCAGUGUUGUGUUUGCACCCGUUUGUGAUGACUUGGAAAAUAAGUCGAUAUUAAGUUGCAAGCCGCAGGAGUGUGUUGUAUCUCCUGGUUAUUCUUCAUCACAUGUUUUACUGCCUCCUUUUGAGAAAAGGCUCAAUUUAGUUUUGGAAUGUCACCCAUCACUGCAAGUGCCAAACGCCAAGGCAGGAGAAAAAGUAGGGAACCACUGGGCUACCCUCACUUUUCAUCUUUGUGCAUUUGAGAUAUGGCCAACAGUGUUGCCAGAUGCAGAGACUGGCAAAGCACCACAUGAUGAAAAGGAAACAUGUGGGUCUCUGGCAAAAUGCCAUUACUUAAAUUGUGUCCAAUGACAUAACAGAUAAGCAGUUUGAAAUUUAAUGCAGUGAAAGGUUCCAUUUGAACCUUUACUUGGUCAAUGCUCUCGUCG